rnacentral:lncRNA from 1 species
UCUUCUAGGAGUCACCGUCAUGGCUUAUAUCCAAGACACAUUUGGUUGGGUUCUCGGUUUUGCAAUCCCAACCGGUUCCAUGUUACUAUUGAUCUUCUUGUUCCUAUGCGGCUGCGGAGUUUAUGUCUAUGCUGAUCAGGGUUCACACCUAAAAUCUAGACCAUUUCAAAGGAUCUUUGAUACGAUCAAAGGAGUAGUGACGAGAAGAAGUAAGAUCACUCUUGAGAACAACCACGAUUUAAAUGCCAUGGAGCUAGAGUGAGUACUCAUCAUUAUUCAAUCCAUAAUAGACACAAAAUUUUGAUGUGCUUUUAGUUGCCGGUUUGGUUUAGUUUUUCGGUUUAUGAAAUAUUGAAGCUGAAUGGAAACCAAAUAAUCGGUGAGUCUGAUUUUUGGUUUCAGUUUAGAACCGAUUUUCUAGUAAAUUAAGUUUCAGUUUCAGGAUUGUUGGCAUAAGACAGUAUGUAAAUUUUAAAUGUGAUUUUUAAAAUAUUAAAUUUUUUACUAGGUUGCUUUUAUAGUACAAUUGGAUUCUUGUCACGGUUUGUUGGAAUACAUAUAUUAUUCCGUUUAUUUUGUUUCCGGUUUGGUUUAAAGAUCGGUUGACUCGCACUGAACACCCCUUUAAUCUUGCUCUUAUAUUAUUGUAUAUAGGCUGCAAGGGAAGCCUCUAUGUAACUGUAGCAACACUGAAGCUACUACCACUACCACUACCACUAAUACUAGUACAAAGAGCUUAGCUGGUGAUGAAAGCAGCAAAACAGGUUUCUCCAGCCUCAAAACCAUCAAGCUAUUGCUUCGGUUAUUACCCAUAUGGACGAUGCUUCUAAUGUUCGCCGUUAUAUUCGAACAACCAGCGACAUUUUUCACAAAGCAAGGUAUGGCUAUGAAGAGAAACAUCGGACCAAACUUCAAAAUCCCACCCGCAACGCUACAAAGCACAAUCACCUUGUCUAUAAUCCUUCUCAUGCCGUUAUACGACAAAGUCUUGAUCCCUAUGGCCAAGAAAAUAUCGAAAAACGAAAAGGGUAUUACCGUCAUGACAAGAAUGGGAAUCGGCAUGUUCAUAUCCAUCAUUGCCAUCGUUAUAGCCGCGUUAGUCGAAAGAAAAAGACUAAAGAUAAGCAAAGAGAUGAAGACUUCACCGAAUACUACAGAACCGUUGAGCAUAUUCUGGCUCUUACCUCAAUAUAUUCUACUAGGAAUCUCGGAUAUUUUCACGGUUGUAGGGAUGCAAGAGUUCUUCUACAGCGAGGUUCCUGUUAGAAUGAGAGCGAUGGGGUUUGCGUUGUACACGAGUGUUUUUGGUGUGGGGAGUUUCGUGAGCGCUGCGUUGAUAUCUGUGAUAGAGAGUUACACGAAGUCAAGAGGUGGGAAACAUAACUGGUUUGCAGAUGAUAUGUCGGAAGCUAGACUUGAUAACUAUGAUUGGCUUUUGGCGCUCACAAGCGCUAUUAGCUUUUUCAUGUAUAUUGUAAUUUGCAAGUAUUUUAAGAGUAGUAGUGAUGAGGAUGAGGAUAAAUGCGAUGAAACUAGUUGAUAAACUUAAAACAGCUCAAAAAUAGCUGUUUGGUAACGCUAUGCGAGUUGCAUCUAAUGAAUGUCAAGUGUUAACAAAAAAUCAUAAAUAUAUGGAGAACUAUAUUUGGUUUGACCAAAAAAAAAUAUGGAGAACUAUAUAUAUUCAUACAUAUCUUACACGUAUUAUUUAAUAUUACAUAACUGUAUAACAAAUUAAAAUAACAAAAAUCUUAAAACACUCCACACAAUUUGACUUUUGAUUUAUUAUAUAGUAUUUUUUUUUGGUAACACAAACAUAUUUCAUUCAUAAUUUAGCCAGAUACAAAGAUAAAAGCAACAUCAAAGACUGGAUGUGCGAUCCUAAUGAAAACGUUCAAUACAAGGCAGUAAAGAGAUAGAGACACAAGCUUAGAUAAACUUGAUAACAAGUUGAAAGAGUGAUCAAAGGUGCCACGUACGAAGAAACCUCUAGAGAGAUUACACCGUCCUUUAAAUUCUUCAACGAAAAUAGUCACCGUAUAUCGUGACGUCGAGCGUUCUACAACCUCGAUUCUCACUGUGAUGGUUCAAUGAGAGAUCCUUUUCCACCUUCCUCCGCUUUGCAGGAGUGACAACUUCCAUCAAAAUCUUCCUUCAUGAGAAGGACCCCUGUCUUGGCUGCAUAGCCAAUGAUCAUUUUCGAUUUUCUUACUGCUUGAUACCCAAGCGAACCAUCACACAAGGUAUCAAGCGGUAAGGAAAUCGACAAUGAUCAUUGGCUAUGCAGCCAAGACAGGGGUCCUGCUCAUGAAGGAAGACUUUGAUGGAAGUUGUCACUCCUGCAAAGCGGAAGAAGGUGGAAAAGAAUCUCUCAUGGCCCUUGCAUGAGGAAGUUUGGCUAGCCUUUCUAAGAGUGGAAAAAGCUAAAGGACUACAAUCUUCGAGCUGCGAUAGAUUCCAACAUAAUAAUAAUAAUAUUGAUGUGGUACUUGCUGUUGUUAUACAAUUUAAUUUAUAUUCAGUUUAUGAUGAGUUGUGCCGACGAUGAUGUAACCGAAAAACGUAAGCUACUCGAUGUUUACGUUGGUGCAAGUCGACAUAUUGCCACUCACUACAUCUUUCAUCUUUCUCCAAAGCCAAGCCCUAAAGUGGACUUUAUUUUAUCUUCCUUUUUUUCUGCUUUCGACCAUGAUUAUCGCAUAAGCGAUCCUUAGGGUUUUUUUUUUUCUUAAAAAAAAAUAAAAAAUAAAAAAUAAGCCAAUCGCGGGUCGGCACGUGUCGGUGGACCCCGUAAACAGUGUUAAAACCCCCCAAUUACCGAUCCUUAUUUGGUGAUUUAUAGAAGUGGUUUUUAAAAUUUUUAUGGGACUCACACGUCAUUGGAAUCCACAUUUUGUCAAAAAAACUCUUUAAGGACCUUGGGAUGCUGAUGUUCUUACUUGUAAUAAAAAUGACGCGAACUUGUUAGUGUCCCCCUACAUGGACAUAGGACUCUAAUACAUAAUAGAUUAUUCAUUUUAUCACUAUAUACAUAUAUAUACAUUUCUCAUUUUCUAAUAAUUGAAUAGAUGGAUAAUCAAAAUGGUUUACUAUAUAGGCCAAUAUUAGUUAGUGCCUAUAAUGUUCUGUUGUACGUACCUACACAAACUCCUCUUUUUGCAAUUUGCUUGUCUCAAUCUCUUUUCAAGUAAAAGGAGUAAUUAAGAAACAAAUUCCUAAAAAGAGAGAGAGAAAAAGUAGGUUGUUAGUUUCUACAUGCAAGGUAUUACUAUAAUGUCAUAUUCAUAAUAUUGAAUAUAUCCCAUACAAAAAUAAAGUCUAGAUAAAAAGUAGUUGAUGAGUUACAUGAUAUUUUCCUCUUGAGUUGGAAGAAACGUAUAUGGAAUGAAUUCUACCAAAACAGGGCAAAAAAAUAAAAAUAAAAAUAUGUUCUUGAAAGAUAGUUCCUUUUUAGAUUAGACACAAAAUAAAUAAAAAUGUCUUGUACUCUUAUGCAUUUAGGCGUGUGCACUGCACCCACCCAAAUGUAUGGCCUAAAGCUCUAUAAAUAUAUUUCUACACACAAAGCAUAACCGUAGUUCUCUUUCACACACACAAAACAUAACCUUACUUAUUUUUCUCUCCCUUAAAAAAACGUUCACAAAAUCACAAGCUUAAAUAUUCUCGCUUCAUGGCUGGAGGAGGUAAAAGAAGAGGACUUAGCAAAUCUUGUGCCCUUCUCAUAGUGAUUGCCGGGAUAGAGAGAUAUGCAUUUAAAGGAGUUGCAUCAAACUUAGUGACUUAUUUAACUGAUGUGGUAAAGAUGAGCAAUUCAAGAGCAGCCACGACUGUUAACACUUGGAGUGGCUUCACUUUCAUGUUGCCUCUCUUCUCUGCUCCUUUCGCCGAUUCUUACGGGGACAGAUUCUUCACCAUCCUCGCUUCUUCUUCUCUAUACUUUGUUGUAAGUAUUACUAAACCAACCUUCAGAAAGAGUCGAUUCAAAUUUUUUCGCUUAACUAUAUCUUCCAUAUUGAAAUAUAUAUGUCUCAUAUGAUCUCUUAUCAAGUGGUCCCUUUCCUUUUUCAUAACAUCUUCUCCUUUUUACCUUUACGUUUAUUUUUGUAAAUCCAUAAAUUUUCUACGAAUUAGUUUAAAGUUCUUUCUCAAUUUUUUUUUGUUUAUGAUGUGUUAUUGAUCAUGUGACCCUCUUCUUUGCGUAUUUUUAUUAGGUCUAUUUGCUUGACAACUGGAACUUUUAGGAAUUGUUACGAAACGUUUCUUAAGAUCUUUGUACUUUGUUUAUGUGGUUUGGUACUAAGCAUGUGAACAUUUCGAUGGAUUUUCUGAGAAAAUUAUUUUCUCUAACUAUUUCCUAAUCAAUCUUUCUUUUUAGAGUAUGGAACGUACGUUACCAAUUAAGCACAUACUGUUGGUAAAGUUUGGUUCCAUAAUGUGAUUUUUCUGGAUCUGAUCCAAAAAAGUUAAGCCUAGUGUACAAUCAACUAAGAUAAUGGAACUCGUAUCAUUCCUCACUAAUCAUGCAUUAUAUUCCAUUACUAGAUCUUACACCACAGAAUAUUUAGUAUUAGUAAAAAGGAAAUAAACCCACUAUGUAAGUUUUAAGUUUUACCCUAAUUUUUCUUCAUAGGAAAAAUAGUGUUAUAAAAUCUGAACUUAGAUAGGAAAUUGGACAGCAUUUUAUUGGAAACUUAAUUAAAAUCAUUUAUCUUGUAUAUUACUAAGUUCUUAUUAAAAGUUUAAAUAUUUCUGACUACUAUUAUUUUAAUUCAUUUUGGAGAUUCUAUUAUUUUGCUAAUUAUGUAAGUUGCUAAUGUUUGGCAUUUUGUUGGGUAUAUGUAAAUAGGGACUAGUGGGAUUGACAUUGACGGCAUUUGCCGGGUCACGUUCCACUACUACAACCAUAUCUAUUUUCUUCCUGUACACUUCACUUAGCCUCGUCGCUCUCGGCCUAGGCGUCUUAAACCCAUCUCUUCAAGCAUUUGGUGCUGACCAGCUUGACCACGACCUUGGCCAUGACCAUGAACAAGACCAAGAGCCAUCCUCAGAGAACAAAGAAGUCAAAUCGGACCGCAAGUCUCAGUUUUUCCAAUGGUGGUACUUUGGUGUCUGCGCCGGUAGUCUUCUAGGAGUCACCGUCAUGGCUUAUAUCCAAGACACAUUUGGUUGGGUUCUCGGUUUUGCAAUCCCAACCGGUUCCAUGUUACUAUUGAUCUUCUUGUUCCUAUGCGGCUGCGGAGUUUAUGUCUAUGCUGAUCAGGGUUCACACCUAAAAUCUAGACCAUUUCAAAGGAUCUUUGAUACGAUCAAAGGAGUAGUGACGAGAAGAAGUAAGAUCACUCUUGAGAACAACCACGAUUUAAAUGCCAUGGAGCUAGAGUGAGUACUCAUCAUUAUUCAAUCCAUAAUAGACACAAAAUUUUGAUGUGCUUUUAGUUGCCGGUUUGGUUUAGUUUUUCGGUUUAUGAAAUAUUGAAGCUGAAUGGAAACCAAAUAAUCGGUGAGUCUGAUUUUUGGUUUCAGUUUAGAACCGAUUUUCUAGUAAAUUAAGUUUCAGUUUCAGGAUUGUUGGCAUAAGACAGUAUGUAAAUUUUAAAUGUGAUUUUUAAAAUAUUAAAUUUUUUACUAGGUUGCUUUUAUAGUACAAUUGGAUUCUUGUCACGGUUUGUUGGAAUACAUAUAUUAUUCCGUUUAUUUUGUUUCCGGUUUGGUUUAAAGAUCGGUUGACUCGCAC